rnacentral:lncRNA from 1 species
AUGAGUUACGAAGUUUCAUCGGUGCAGGAAGAAAUGAGAGCAGGGGUCCUUUUUCGAAAAUUGGGACCGGUGCUAUACUCUUCAGCAUCAUACUCGGUCAGCCUGCGAUUCAAUAUUUCACAAUUGAGAGCUCAAGACGGGCAGCUUGAAAGCGAGUUUGUCAAUUUACAAAAAUUCAUCACUAAUGCAGCAAAGUUAGUAACAAAUAAAACAUCCCUGUUGGCGGAGGUACGGGUCUUACAUAGCGAAUUGGCCGAGUAUGAGGCUGAAAUGGAAGCAGUACUGGACCUGAUCCCUGGGGAAAGGAGAACUCGAUCCAUCUGUGACGGAUUUGGCCGACUCAUCUCAAGUUUAACAGGCUUAAUGGAUGACGAGGACCGGACCACGAUGCAAGGGGGACUCCAGGACCUUCAAGGCAGGACCGACGAGCUGGAGGCGGAGAUAACUCCUAGUAAGGCAAUUAUCAGAGGGAUGCUGAACGAGACUUUACAAAAUGCGAAAAUUUUAAGUUCAUUGACCCGAGAUGUGGUAGGGAAUAGUAACGCGGUAGGGGAUCUGCGGAGUGCAAUUGAGUUGGAGGCGAAGUUGCGAGAAAUAAGCUUUUGGAUUUCAAAACUUCGAUUUGAAAGGUCACAGCUUCGUCUGGGGCUCGAGAGCGCUUUGAAAGGAGUCCUGAUAGCGGAGCUAUUUCCUCCACAGAAACUGUUACGGGUACUCCUUCGAAUCGAGGGCGAGUUGGCCGAGCGAUACAGACUUGUCACUAAGGUAACAUCUAGGGAGCUGAAAGUAUUCUAUGAUUUAGGGAAGGUAAGUAUUAAGUACAUCAGAAAUGAGCUUCUUGUCACGGUCGAGUUUCCACUGCGAAGAGUGGGCAUGGAUUUUGCGAUGUGGAAAGUAAUUUCUAUACCGGUUUUCCACCCAACAUUGCAGUCUUUUGUCCAGCUUGUCGUAGGGGACUACUUGAUCGUGACUACGGAUUUCAAAUGGUUUGCGGUUCUCGGUGAACAAGCAGUUCGCGACUGUAAGAAAGCUAGCAAUUUCACUGUUUGUCCCGCGCAGGUGCCGCUUUCUAGGGAAACUGUGAAAGCCUGUGAGUUUGAGUUGUUUUCUGGGAAGAAGUCUGUAAAGUGUGAAAAGAGAGUAUUGGCAGAGAGGCCUGAGGGAUACUUUCUCCGAUUGGGGAGGGAAUGGAUGUUUUCAGUCAUCAACUCAACAAGGAUAAGCAUAAAUUGUGGCCAGCGGCACGAGGUUCGAGAAAUUAGCGGCGCGGGAUUGCUACGUGGACUGCGGCACUGCGACAUAGGGACGACCGACCAAUUGGCACUGGGAGGAGUCGAGCUGGCGUCAGAAUUGGACGUGGAUUGGGAGGAUUCCGUGAUACCCAACAUCGACAGCGUCGCGGGGCUGACGGUAGAUGAGGAGCGAUCAGUGCAAGAUGAGAAGGAGAAGGGGGACCUGGUUGAGAAUGUGCGGCAGUUCGCGGAGCAAUCUAGCGACAAUGCUAAGCUGAGUGCAUUUCUCUCAAGUUUAACCGAGCAACGAAAGAAUCGGCCAUGGGUUCCGCCACAAAUUCAUUUGUAUGGUCUUUCAACAUUUGUCCUUUUUCUGGCUUUGUUGGGGGUGCUAGUGGGUUGGCGGCUGCUUCGGGCCUCAGUGGCUUCGAUUGCGAGCCCUAUUCAAGCGCGGCGAGCCAACGUCUGA